UAAGACGUAGGAUGCGAGCGUUGUUCGGAAUUAUUGGGCGUAAAGCGUGCGUAGGCGGCUACUUAAGUCUGGUGUUAAAGCUAGGGGCUCAACCCCUGUGUUGCACUGGAAACUGGGUAGCUUGAGUGCGGUAGGGGAAGGUGGAAUUCCGAGUGUAGCGGUGAAAUGCGUAGAUAUUCGGAAGAACACCGGUGGCGAAGGCGACCUUCUGGGCCGCCACUGACGCUGAGGCACGAAAGCGUGGGGAGCAAACGGGAUUAGAUACCCCGGUAGUCCACGCUGUAAACGAUGAUCACUAGGUGUUGCGGGUAUCGACCCCCGCAGUGCCGUAGCUAACGCGUUAAGUGAUCCGCCUGGGGAGUACGGUCGCAAGACUG
rnacentral:rRNA from 1 species